AGCGAACGCUGGCGGCAGGCUUAACACAUGCAAGUCGAGCGGGCACUUUCGGGUGUCCGCGGCGGACGGGUGAGUAACGCGUGGGAACGUGCCCUCUGGUUCGGAAUAACUCAGGGAAACUUGAGCUAAUACCGGAUACGCCCUUUUGGGGAAAGGCUUGCUGCCGGAGGAUCGGCCCGCGUCUGAUUAGCUAGUUGGUGAGGUAACGGCUCACCAAGGCGACGAUCAGUAGCUGGUCUGAGAGGAUGAUCAGCCACACUGGGACUGAGACACGGCCCAGACUCCUACGGGAGGCAGCUGUGGGGAAUAUUGGACAAUGGGCGCAAGCCUGAUCCAGCCAUGCCGCGUGAGUGAUGAAGGCCUUAGGGUUGUAAAGCUCUUUUAUCCGGGACGAUAAUGACGGUACCGGAGGAAUAAGCCCCGGCUAACUUCGUG
rnacentral:rRNA from 1 species